rnacentral:rRNA from 1 species
AUUGAACGCUGGCGGCAUGCUUUACACAUGCAAGUCGAACGGCAGCGCGGGCUUCGGCCUGGCGGCGAGUGGCGAACGGGUGAGUAAUACAUCGGAACGUGCCCAGUAGUGGGGGAUAGCUCGGCGAAAGCCGGAUUAAUACCGCAUACGACCUGAGGGUGAAAGCGGGGGAUCUUCGGACCUCGCGCUAUUGGAGCUGCCGAUGGCAGAUUAGCUAGUUGGUGGGGUAAAGGCCUACCAAGGCGACGAUCUGUAGCUGGUCUGAGAGGACGACCAGCCACACUGGGACUGAGACACGGCCCAGACUCCUACGGGAGGCAGCAGUGGGGAAUUUUGGACAAUGGGCGAAAGCCUGAUCCAGCAAUGCCGCGUGUGUGAUGAAGGCCUUCGGGUUGUAAAGCACUUUUGGCGGGAACGAAAAGGACUGUGCCAAUACCACGGCUCGAUGACGGUACCCGCAGAAUAAGCACCGGCUAACUACGUG